UUAAUAUUCCUGUACUUGGUGUUACUGCGAAGGGGGGACGGAGAAGGCUAUGUUGGCCGGGCGACGGUUGUCCCGGUUUAAGCGUGUAGGCUGGUUUUCCAGGCAAAUCCGGAAAAUCAAGGCUGAGGCGUGAUGACGAGGCACUACGGUGCUGAAGCAACAAAUGCCCUGCUUCCAGGAAAAGCCUCUAAGCAUCAGGUAACAUCAAAUCGUACCCCAAACCGACACAGGUGGUCAGGUAGAGAAUACCAAGGCGCUUGAGAGAACUCGGGUGAAGGAACUAGGCAAAAUGGUGCCGUAACUUCGGGAGAAGGCACGCUGAUAUGUAGGUGAAGCGACUUGCUCGUGGAGCUGAAAUCAGUCGAAGAUACCAGCUGGCUGCAACUGUUUAUUAAAAACACAGCACUGUGCAAACACGAAAGUGGACGUAUACGGUGUGACGCCUGCCCGGUGCCGGAAGGUUAAUUGAUGGGGUCAGCGCAAGCGAAGCUCUUGAUCGAAGCCCCGGUAAACGGCGGCCGUAACUAUAACGGUCCUAAGGUAGCGAAAUUCCUUGUCGGGUAAGUUCCGACCUGCACGAAUGGCGUAAUGAUGGCCAGGCUGUCUCCACCCGAGACUCAGUGAAAUUGAACUCGCUGUGAAGAUGCAGUGUACCCGCGGCAAGACGGAAAGACCCCGUGAACCUUUACUAUAGCUUGACACUGAACAUUGAGCCUUGAUGUGUAGGAUAGGUGGGAGGCUUUGAAGUGUGGACGCCAGUCUGCAUGGAGCCGACCUUGAAAUACCACCCUUUAAUGUUUGAUGUUCUAACGUGGACCCGUGAUCCGGGUUGCGGACAGUGUCUGGUGGGUAGUUUGACUGGGGCGGUCUCCUCCUAAAGAGUAACGGAGGAGCACGAAGGUUGGCUAAUCCUGGUCGGACAUCAGGAGGUUAGUGCAAUGGCAUAAGCCAGCUUGACUGCGAGCGUGACGGCGCGAGCAGGUGCGAAAGCAGGUCAUAGUGAUCCGGUGGUUCUGAAUGGAAGGGCCAUCGCUCAACGGAUAAAAGGUACUCCGGGGAUAACAGGCUGAUACCGCCCAAGAGUUCAUAUCGACGGCGGUGUUUGGCACCUCGAUGUCGGCUCAUCACAUCCUGGGGCUGAAGUAGGUCCCAAGGGUAUGGCUGUUCGCCAUUUAAAGUGGUACGCGAGCUGGGUUUAGAACGUCGUGAGACAGUUCGGUCCCUAUCUGCCGUGGGCGCUGGAGAACUGAGGGGGGCUGCUCCUAGUACGAGAGGACCGGAGUGGACGCAUCACUGGUGUUCGGGUUGUCAUGCCAAUGGCACUGCCCGGUAGCUAAAUGCGGAAGAGAUAAGUGCUGAAAGCAUCUAAGCACGAAACUUGCCCCGAGAUGAGUUCUCCCUGACUCCUUGAGAGUCCUGAAGGAACGUUGAAGACGACGACGUUGAUAGGCCGGGUGUGUAAGCGCAGCGAUGCGUUGAGCUAACCGGUACUAAUGAACCGUGAGGCUUAACCUU
rnacentral:rRNA from 1 species